rnacentral:rRNA from 1 species
GGUUAAGGCGCACUUCGGUGCGCGCAUAGAGUGGCGAACGGCUGAGUAACACGUGGGCAACCUGCCCCUCGCACCGGGACAGCCUCGGGAAACCGUGGAUGAUACCGGAUACUCCGCCUCCCCCGCAUGGGGAGGGCGGGAAAGCCCAGGCGGCGAGGGAUGGGCCCGCGGCCUGUUAGCUAGUUGGCGGGGCAGCGGCCCACCAAGGCGAUGAUGGGUAGCCGGGUUGAGAGACCGACCGGCCAGAUUGGGACUGAGACACGGCCCAGACUCCUACGGGAGGCAGCAGUGGGGAAUCUUGCACAAUGGGCGGAAGCCUGAUGCAGCGACGCCGCGUGCGGGACGAAGGCCUUCGGGCUGUAAACCGCUUUCAGCAGGGACGAGGCGCAAGUGACGGUACCUGCAGAAGAAGCCCCGGCUAACUACGUGCCAGCAGCCGCGGUAAUACGUAGGGGGCAAGCGUUAUCCGGAUUCAUUGGGCGUAAAGCGCGCGUAGGCGGCCAGCCUGGUCGGGAGUCAAAUCCGGGGGCUCAACCCCCGUCCGCUCCCGAUACCGGCCGGCUUGAGUCUGGCAGGGGAAGGCGGAAUUCCCGGUGUAGCGGUGGAAUGCGCAGAUAUCGGGAAGAACACCGGUGGCGAAGGCGGCCUUCUGGGCCACGACUGACGCUGAGGUUCGAAAGCGUGGGUAGCAAACAGGAUUAGAUACCCUGGUAGUCCACGCCGUAAACGAUGAGUGCUAAGUGUUGGAGGGUUUCCGCCCUUCAGUGCUGCAGCUAACGCAUUAAGCACUCCGCCUGGGGAGUACGGUCGCAAGACUGAAACUCAAAUGAA